rnacentral:rRNA from 1 species
GACCCGUCUUGAAACACGGACCAAGGAGUUUAACGUGUACGCGAGUCAUUGGGCGGCAAACCCAAAGGCGCAAUGAAAGUGAAUUGACAUGUGAGCCGGCCUGGCCGGCGCAGCAUGGCCCCGUCCCGACCGCUUGCGGUGGGGCGGAGGCAGAGCGUAUGCGCUGAGACCCGAAAGAUGGUGAACUAUUCCCGAGCAGGACGAAGCCAAAGGAAACUCUGGUGGAAGUCCGAAGCGGUUCUGACGUGCAAAUCGAUCGUCUGACUUGGGUAUAGGGGCGAAAGACUAAUCGAACCAUCUAGUAGCUGGUUCCUUCGCA